AUCGCUUCUCGGCCUUUUGGCUAAGAUCAAGUGUAGUAAAAAUGCACCUAGUUUCUGACAGAAAUUUCAUUUUAAUGUAUUCAUUAUACAGAUAUACUCAUC
rnacentral:snRNA from 1 species